GCGCACGCUGGCGGCAGGCUUAACACAUGCAAGUCGAACGGGCAUCUUCGGAUGUCAGUGGCAGACGGGUGAGUAACACGUGGGAACGUACCCUUCGGUUCGGAAUAACUCAGGGAAACUUGAGCUAAUACCGGAUACGCCCUUUUGGGGAAAGGUUUACUGCCGAAGGAUCGGCCCGCGUCUGAUUAGCUUGUUGGUGGGGUAACGGCCUACCAAGGCGACGAUCAGUAGCUGGUCUGAGAGGAUGAUCAGCCACACUGGGACUGAGACACGGCCCAGACUCCUACGGGAGGCAGCAGUGGGGAAUAUUGGACAAUGGGCGCAAGCCUGAUCCAGCCAUGCCGCGUGAGUGAUGAAGGCCUUAGGGUUGUAAAGCUCUUUUGUCCGGGACGAUAAUGACGGUACCGGAAGAAUAAGCCCCGGCUAACUUCGUG
rnacentral:rRNA from 1 species